ACUUCUGGAUAGGGAUUUGCAGCAGCCAGCACCUUGGAAGGACUGAACAGAGUUCAGCAGUCACUUCUCCAUGGAUCUUG
rnacentral:lncRNA from 1 species